UGUUGUCUAUGGGUAUUGAGAAGAAUGGGAUAAUUUUUUGUGUGAUUUUUACAAAUUUACAUAGCAAUAAUAAAGCGAUUGAAACAAAUGUGAACGUAUUAAUAUAUCGUAUUUCUUCUUCUUAAAAUAAACUAGCUAUCCAUGCUUUUUCAAAUAACUUGCAAUGCCUGAUUGAAAAAUGCAUUAGUCACUCCAUUGCCUUCGUAGAUGUUGAUGUUGCCUCGAAUCUAAUAAAGUGUCCAAGAUUUCCCGACAUACGAGAGACGACAACCGCAGCCACGAUGAACUUCGAGGACGGUCCCGGUGGUUUCAUCACCCAAGAGACCAUCUACGGGACCUCCGAGGAAACUCCCGUCAUGACGGAGAAGGUGCAGAACCUGGCUGGCCAAGUUUACACCGAGUUUGAGCGGAUGAUCGGCCGGUACGACGAGGAUGUGGUCAAGAAGCUCAUGCCGUUGGUCGUGCACAUUCUGGAGAACCUCGACUCCUCCUACAGGAAGGUGCAGCGGCAGGCCGUGGAGCUGGAACUGCUGAGGGAGGACAACGAACAGCUGAUGAAUCAGUACGAUCGGGAGAAGGUCGGCAGGAAACAAGCUGAACAGAAGCUGAUCGAGACGGAGGACUUCUUCGAGGGCGAGAAGAAGGAGCUGUGCAGCCGGCUGGAGAGCCUCGAGAGCAUCAUCAAGAUGCUCGAGAUAAAACACAAGAACUUGGUGGACCACGCCUCACGCAUAGAGGAGCGGGAAAACGAACAGAAGAAGGAGUUCUCGAAGCUGCACGAGCGCUACACCAAGCUGGUGAAGACGCACCUGGACUAUAUGGAACGGACCAAGAUGCUGCUGAGCACGGCCAGCGACCGCGGCGAGGUGCACAACCGGCUGGGGCUCGGCAACGCGGGCCGCUCUAGCGGACCAUUCUCGAUCGGGUUCGCGUCGCUCGAAGAGUCCGUGCACGGCCUCGACCAAUCAGAAAGCAUCGCAGGCAGCCCGCUCAGCCUAUCGUCGUCGCCGCCGUCGCCCGCUAUUGGCUGCGAGCUUGCCGCCGUGCAGACGGUUGAGCAGGCGCAUCAGACUGAUCCAAUCAGGCAGCAGAGUCAGGCGACGUCACCGUCUACGCCUAUGAAUGCCUCUAUGAGUCGUUCCCAGACCAAGAGCGAGAAGCGAAGCGCUAACACCCUGUAUCAAGAGCUGGCCUUCAACGAUACUGACACCAUAGCUGAGGGUGAUGAUGGCGGAGAUAUAACAGGCAGCUGGGUGCACCCCGGGGAAUACGCGUCCGCAGUGAAUGAUAACUACUUUGGAAUGGGACGCGAAGUGGAGAACCUAAUUUUGGAGAACAACGAACUAUUGGCGACCAAAAACGCGCUGAACGUGGUCAAAGACGACCUGAUCGUGAAGGUGGACGAGCUGACCGGCGAGCAGGAGAUCCUGCGCGAGGAGGUGUGCAACCUGAGCGCGGCGCGCGAGCGACUGCGCGAGCGGGUCUCGCAGCUGGAGGACGAGCUGCGCCACUUGAAGGAGACGGUGAACAACAAUGCUGGAGGGGAGAACGAGGAUGAAGCUGAUGUGCCGAUGGCGCAGCGCCGUCGGUUCACGCGCGUCGAGAUGGCCCGGGUUCUUAUGGAACGCAACCAGUACAAGGAGCGUUUCAUGGAGCUGCAAGACGCGGUCCGCUGGACGGAGAUGGUGCGAGCGUCCCGCGUGGACUCCACCAUGGACAAGAAGAACAAGCAGAGCAUAUGGAAGUUCUUCAGCAACCUCUUCAGCACGGGCGAGCGUCCAACCAGGCCGCUGUCGACGCCGCAACUGCGCGCCGUGUGCACGCCCACCGCCAUGCGCCACUCGCGCACCUCCGCCGACUUCAUCGAGACGCAGCUCAGCGACUCGCACCGCCGCCGCAGCGAGCGCCAGGACCAGUUCCGACAGGUGCGAGCCCACGUGCGUAAAGAAGACGGUCGUACUCAGGCCUACGGUUGGAGCCUUCCGGGCAAGUCGGGGCAGCGCGCGCCCGGCCCGGCCGCGCCGCCCGGCGCCGUGCCCGUGCCCGUGCCCGUGUUCUGUCGGCCGAUAGCGGAGUCGGAACCGCGAAUGACCCUUCUGUGCGCGUGCGGCGUGAACCUGACCGGCGGCCUCACGCCGGGCGGCGGCCGCAUGGCGGGCGACAGCGCGUUCUACCCGCCCACCACCGUGUGUCUAGCUGAAGAGAUGACGGCGGUAUCAGCCAACCCGCUGCACUCGCCCGAAGUGGAACAGAUCAGCCGGCAGCUGCAGUCCACUCUGAGCGCGGAGCUGGUGGAGCGACAUCUGUCGUCGCUGCUGUGGAUAUGCUCUAGUACGCAGAGCAAGGCCGUCGUUAUGAUAAUCGACGCGAACAACCCGGCGGAGGUGAUCGAGUCGUUCUCGAUGUCGGACAAGCACAUCCUGUGCAUCGCGUCGGUGCCGGGCGCCGCGGCCGAGGACUACGCCGAGUACGAGCAGCGGCUGCACGAGGAGAAGGCGCAGGCUCAGUUCACUGCGUCCAAGAGUGUCUCGAUGGACAGCCAGAGCGGCAACGGAAGCAGCAGCAAUACCGACUCCAGCGACAAGGAUGUCAUUGUUGGCAGCUCCAAAUUGGUGCAGUCGAUCCUGCUGAGCCCGCCGUCGUCGCCGGUCAAAGAACCGACUGACACUUCGGAGGUGCCGCAGGACAUACCCAAGGAGUGCUCCGCAAAGGAGAUGGAAGACAGCCCUCCGCUCAGCUCUACGCCGCAGAAUCCGGAAUACCUCGGCUCCCCCGAGCCGGGCGUGGACGCGUUCGCCCAAGAGCAGUCGGACACGGAGCAGCGGUCCGACCUGCCGCCCGAGCGCCCCGUGUCCACGGUCAUGGCCACCAUGUGGCUGGGCACCAAGAGCGGCCAUCUGUACAUACACUCCGCCAUGGGCAACUACAGCAAGUGUCUCGCUAGAAUAAAGCUAAACGACGCCAUACUGAGCAUCGUGGUCUGUGCGUCGCGGUGCGCGGUGGCGUUGGCCGACGGCCGGGUGGCGUUGUUCGCGAGACAGGCCGACGGCUCCUGGGACCUCUCGCAGUACUGGCUGCUCACGCUCGGGGACCCCAAGUGCUCAGUGCGUUGCCUGAGCGCGGUGGGCAACACGGUGUGGUGCGGCUACCGCAACAAGGUGCACGUGAUCGAGCCGCGGUCGCGCCAGCUGCUCUACUCGCUGGAGGCGCAUCCACGCCAGGAGAGCCAGGUCCGUCAAAUGGCGGCAGACGGCGACGGCGUCUGGGUCUCAAUAAAGAUGGACUCCACCCUCCGUCUCUACCACGCACACACCUACCAACACCUCAAAGACGUGGACAUAGAGCCUUACGUCUCCAAGAUGCUUGGAACAGGCAAACUCGGCUUCUCAUUGGUCCGGAUCACGGCCCUGUUGAUAAGUUCUGGGCGGCUGUGGAUUGGCACUAGUAAUGGGGUGGUGAUCUCGGUGCCGCUGACUGAGUCGAGUCGCGAUUCUGUUGGCGGGUCGCUGCCGUCCGUGCCGCUUUCUGGUGCGGACCGUCGCUCGCUCCCCACCGGCUCCAUCCCCUGGUGUUCCAUGGCGCACGCUCAGCUCAGCUUCCACGGGCACCGCGACGCCGUCACAUUCUUCGUGGGCGUCCCCGGCGCGGGGUCCCCCGCCCGGUCCCCCGAGUCCCCCACAGGGGGCGCCACUGGGGCCCCGAUGCUCGUCGUGUCCGGAGGGGAGGGGUAUAUCGACUUUAGAAUAGAGGAGCACGCCGAUGACGUUCGCGACACCGCGUCGCACCUUAUAGUGUGGCAGAUUCUCUCUGAGAACUGAAUGCGAGUACCUGAUUCGAAUAAGCUUUAUUUUACUAUAAAUAACACACGAAAUGCGGACUCAGAAAUGGAGGACAGCGUAGUAGUGGCCGAAGACGGGUCGUCAGGCCCUAGCUCCCUCGCCGAGCGAGCGUCCAAGUCGCACCUGAUAGUGUGGCAGGUGGCGCCCGCCUAACGCAAGCCGCGCCGCGCCCGCCCCCCGUCAGAGUCUGACUACGUCUACGUCUGCAUGACUACCAAACCUGAGAACGUGGUUUAAUAAUGAACCAGUCACAUCCCGGGAAGUCAGAGACGGUUGAAUAUCUAUCCGGGACGUGAGUGGUUACGGCUGGUGGCUUUGAAUGACGGCUGAGCGAUGGAUUUAGAGAGGCUGGUUGGUUGAAGCGAAGUGUUUGUUGACAGUCGUAUUGAGUAAGCUUUGUUUUACAGUUCCUUAGCAUGGUAAUGAUAAUUUUGAUCAUAAACUAAACUGGCUUAUGUCUAAUGUUCUUGUAUGUUCAGUUUAUGUCUAUAAAUAUGUAAGUAUAAUAAUUUUCUGUAGCGAUGCAAUGCGAUUUCUAAUUACUUAUCCGUAAAUUAGUACCUAUGUAUGUUGCAAAUAAGUUUUCUCGAUAAUAAUAUGAGAAGUUUGCUCAGCCAGCUAGUCAUUCAAAGCGACUGCCCAAGUAGAAGGAUUGUUAAGGAAAUAUAGGUCAGUAUUGUGUAACUUACGAAUGGUCUUACAAGAUUUGGUUGCGAUGGCAAAUUAAUAUUUAAGUAUUAAUUAAUUUUGUGUGUAGAGUUGGUCCUUCAGUCCUUUUUUCGCCUUCACAUUUUGGACUUUUCUAUCAAAGUGUGUUGGUUCACCUAUUCACUAUCACGUUCAAUUGUUUUUGAGGUACACUGCUGUCUAAAACGAUGAAUUUGUAUUCAUGUGGUAAAAGCGAUGAAAUUCUUCCUUGUAUUAAGGUUUAUGUAGCAGAUACCUCAAAACCAAUGCUCCAGUCUGUCCUAGUGUGAUUUCUCACCAGUACACAGGCAUCCGUAGACGAUUAGAUAUCUUGAGGCGCUGAGCACGGCACCAAAACCUAAACUAGACAUGUAACCUCACUUAUAUCACUAUAGUCUUUAUUGCUUUAGGCUGAAUAUACUGUGUGGCACGCUAUAGGUCUUUAAAUUGGAAUCGAUGCUUACGAUUCAAUAUUAUUUUAUACCAAGAGGUAUAUUUAGAAUUUUCGAUCAUUUCCUCUAGCUGUAAACACGUUUCAAUGACCCUUGAGUUUAUGACUAUAAUCAUAGCGUGUGAGUUUGAAAUCUGACUUAUGCUAUUCGAGGAAAUGUUCUAGAAAAUAUAAGUAAAGUGUGUAGAUGCAUGCAAACAAAAAUGUAACAUUCGAAGGAGGUCGUGAAAAGAUAGAAUCAUAAGAAAUGAUCAGGAUUCUGUAGUGUGAUGGAUUGCUCAUACGUAUCAUUGUGAAUGGGUCGUGAUGGUGUAAACUGUAAUCUCUAUCAAUACUUUGUGGGGAUGAUAGUGCUAUUGUAACAAAGACAUGGGUGUGUGCGUGUGUGUGAGUGUGUUAGUGUGUCUGCUCUUUUGCUACAUUCGCCUUGUUUAGGCUUAUUGGUAAUGUUAAGGAAGUUGUACAAGAUGUAACCACCAAAUAAAACAUUUUAGUAGUGAUAGAGCUUAAGGUAGACGCGAGGAAGCGUAUGAGAUUUUUUAUAUUGUAAUGUGUAGUAACAAAAUAGUUGUACGAGCGAUGAAUUUUGUUAUUUAAUGCGAAGAUGCUGUACGUUAUCCAUUAUGGCUGUGGUUUCAAUCUAUAUCACAAGUGUAUAGUGUACUUUGUUUUUGUUAUUUAUUUAUAUUUUGUUUUUAGCAUCUGACACGCGCAUCUCGUAAUCACUUGUUGAAGAGAUGUCGCAUUGUUGUUUUUAUGACAGAUUAUUUUAAUUUCGGUUCAUUAAUGGUGCGACAGUAAUUUAAGCCUAAAUGAUACUUCUAUCGACAUGAAAUUAAUGUAAAAUACUUGAUAGUAAAAGUAUUUGAUAUACCUAUAAUAAAGAUUUGGAUUUUUUCCGAUGAAUACAAUAAUAUUUAUCUAUUUUGCUCUUUAGAUAUUUUAAAUAAGUUAUUUAAAAAGUUGCAUUGAAAGCUGGUUAAAGGGGUGUAUGAUUAAAAUUAUAUGUUAUGUAUUUCGUGAUUAAGUUAUAUUUUAUUUUCAAUAUUUUUGAUGUACUUAGACAUAGAAGGAAUCUCCCUCUAACCAUCUUGGAAUGUAACAACUAGUCACGACUAUACGACCUAUAGAUAUACAUAUUUAGCUAGGUGGUCGUUGUUUUGCUGAUUUUAGCAAAAAUGUUAUUUUAUUAGUUGUAAUUUGUAAGAUAUAAGAUAACCAAACUCAUCAAAAAUCUUAAUGUAAUAUGAAGCGACCUUUGAGUGUGAUAAAUGAUAAUACAAAUUUGAAAGGGAUAUUGAACUAAAUUCACGGAUACUUUAA